UUGUUGUUUUGUUGUAAACAGACAAACGAUGGAAUUUUUUGGAUGUCUUGGAAGGAUUUCCAAAUACAUUUUAGGUCUAUAUAUGUUUGUCGUGUCUACCCACCAGAGAUGCGCUACUCAAUCCAUGGUCAAUGGAGAGGCUACAGCGUUGGAGACUGCCAGGAUUAUGACACAUGGCAUCAGAAUCCCCAAUAUCAACUAAGAGCAAGUGAUCCUGAUGCUUCCUUGCCCAUUCAUGUAUUUAUCACCUUAACUCAGGGUGUGAGCUUCUCAAGGACUACAGCUGGUUUCAGGAAUUAUCAAUCAAGCCAUGAUUCAAUGAUGUUCUAUAUUGGGAUGAGGAUACUGAAAAAUCGUGGUAGGCGUGCUGCAUAUAACAUCUAUUUGCAUGAAUCUGUUGGUGGGACAGACUAUGUGAAUUCUCGAGAGAUAUCAUGUGAGAUGGUCCUAGAUCCUGAUCCGAAGGGUUACACAAUAGUGCCUACUACAAUACAUCCUGGUAAAGGGGCGCCUUUUGUUCUCUCUGUUUUUAAUAAAGCUUCGAUAAGUCUUGAAACUUUAUAAUUUUGCAUUGAUGGCCCAUUUGGUUUGGGUUUGAGUUUGAUCAUCACUUGUGGCUCCUAGGCAUCUCCCCAAAAGGAUUCUGCACGGACUAUCCCCAAUCAUUCACACGUGUCUGAGAGCUGGUUGAACGUUGCAGUAAAAAAGCUCGGCAUAGAAAGAGGAAAAAGGAUGGUCUGUCCUUUGCGAAUGGAUGAAGCAAGCUGUCUUAUUCUGGAAAGUCCAUGGUUGCUAAAUGUCAUUUCUGCAUGGGUGUUGGAAGUCUCUAAAGCCAAUAGAAGGAAGAUGGUCCAUUGAUUCAGUCUUCAGCUCUUAACAUGGUCUUGAAGAGGGUUCUCAGGGAUUAGAAUACUGUACAUGAGUAGAUGUAAGAGAUUUAGUUAUGUAAAUGAGGGUUAACAAAAAGGAAUAGAUGAAAAAAAAAAUAGGAGUAGAUGUGAGGGAUGCGCUACUGGAUGCAUGUUGGAGUCCACCAUAUGGCUGAAAUAUCAAUUGAAGUUUCAGCAUCAGUUUUGAAGUACUUGUAGACAUCACUUCAUUAAUUGUAAAAACCAAACAUUCUUA